rnacentral:rRNA from 1 species
GAUGAACGCUGGCGGCGUGCCUAAUACAUGCAAGUCGAGCGAACAGAUGAGGAGCUUGCUCCUCUGACGUUAGCGGCGGACGGGUGAGUAACACGUGGAUAACCUACCUAUAAGACUGGGAUAACUACGGGAAACCGGAGCUAAUACCGGAUAAUAUAUUGAACCGCAUGGUUCAAUAGUGAAAGACGGUUUUGCUGUCACUUAUAGAUGGAUCCGCGCCGCAUUAGCUAGUUGGUAAGGUAACGGCUUACCAAGGCAACGAUGCGUAGCCGACCUGAGAGGGUGAUCGGCCACACUGGAACUGAGACACGGUCCAGACUCCUACGGGAGGCAGCAGUAGGGAAUCUUCCGCAAUGGGCGAAAGCCUGACGGAGCAACGCCGCGUGAGUGAUGAAGGUCUUCGGAUCGUAAAACUCUGUUAUUAGGGAAGAACAAAUGUGUAAGUAACUAUGCACGUCUUGGCGGUACCUAAUCAGAAAGCCACGGCUAACUACGU